rnacentral:lncRNA from 1 species
UUUAAAUCGCUUUACGAGUCCGGAAAAUAUUCGGAGGCAGAUAUUCGUGAUGAAAUAAAUACAAUGGUUUUUGCAGGAAGUGAUACUGCCGCUAAUUCGCUAACAUUUUUAUUUUUAAUGUUAGCCACGUUUCCGGACAUUCAAAAUCAAGUAUACGAAGAGCUG